GGCUUUGCACAGUGGCAGUAUUGAAGCCAAUGAGGUUUAUCUGAGGCAUGAUUAUUGCUAAAUGAAAACUAUUUAUUUAUCUACUCUGUGCCAGACACUGUGCUAGGCAGGAAGGAUACAAUGAUACACUUAACAGAAGG
ensembl:snRNA U4 U4 spliceosomal RNA